rnacentral:tRNA from 1 species
GGUGGGGUGCUAGAGCGGUUGAAUAGGCUGGUCUUGAAAACCAGUAGGGUAGCAAUAUCCUCGUGAGUUCGAAUCUCACCCCCACCG